rnacentral:misc_RNA from 1 species
UUGGGUGGAUCAUUGUUCUUUGUCCAACUGUAAGGACGGUCUGAUUGAUGCGAUUAUGGGGUCUACAGCAAUAACCAUUUCAAAUAAUUACAUGACACAUCAUGAUAAAGUUAUGCUCUUGGGACAUAGUGAUACAUAUACUCAAGAUAAAAACAUGCAAGUAACUAUAGCUUUUAAUCACUUUGGUGAAGGUCUUGUCCAAAG